rnacentral:rRNA from 1 species
GACGAGGGGUGCAACCGUUAUUCGGAAUGAUUGGGCGUAAAGGGUGCGUAGGCGGUUCAUCAAGUCAACUGUUAAAUUUCUCAGCUUAACUGGGAGUAUGCGGUAGAAACUGAUGAACUAGAGGAUGGAAGAGAGAAGUAGAAUUCUCGGAGUAGCGGUAAAAUGCGUAGAUCUCGAGAGGAACACCGAUGGCGAAGGCAGCUUCUUGGUCCAUUUCUGACGCUGAGGCACGAAAGCGUGGGGAGCAAACAGG